CCUACGGGAGGCUGCAGUGGGGAAUAUUGGACAAUGGGCGAAAGCCUGAUCCAGCCAUGCCGCGUGUGUGAAGAAGGCCUUCGGGUUGUAAAGCACUUUCAGUGGGGAAGAAAGCCUUGGGGCUAAUACCCUCGAGGAAGGACAUCACCCACAGAAGAAGCACCGGCUAACUCCGUGCCAGCAGCCGCGGUAAUACGGAGGGUGCGAGCGUUAAUCGGAAUUACUGGGCGUAAAGCGCGCGUAGGCGGUCUGAUAAGCCGGUUGUGAAAGCCCCGGGCUCAACCUGGGAACGGCAUCCGGAACUGUCAGGCUAGAGUGCAGGAGAGGAAGGUAGAAUUCCCGGUGUAGCGGUGAAAUGCGUAGAGAUCGGGAGGAAUACCAGUGGCGAAGGCGGCCUUCUGGACUGACACUGACGCUGAGGUGCGAAAGCGUGGGUAGCAAACAGGAUUAGAUCCCCGAGUAGUC
rnacentral:rRNA from 1 species